rnacentral:lncRNA from 1 species
GGUGCCUGAAGCAGUUGAGAGACAUUUAUAAUGAAAUGUUCAGGAGAAUGUGAUUAAAUUUGAAAUUUCAAUGACUAAGAGAAUUGAUUAUUACAACUUGUUUUAUUAGAUGCAGUUCUCCCUGCAGCUCAAACACGAAGUAAAGGUGUGAGAGGAGUCCCAGGAAUAUGCCAGGGCCCUGCAAGAGUCAGACUGAGGCCAGCUGUGCUCACACACACUGAUGACACGAUGACACUAAUGGACAAGUAUGGGAAAGAGGUAAAGCCUCAUUCUUAGACUCCCCCAAACCUCUCCUCACCAUAAAUCCAGGCCCAUGUUCUGUUGCCCAGGCAGGGUUAGCACAAGGAAGACGCAGUCAGGUCCUGUGUGUCUCCAGAGAGGGGCCUCCCAUGGGUGAGACCCCACUGGGUGAGCAAUGGACUCUGGAUAGCACUCCCCUCUCAGGCUGGAGAUACCCUACAGCCAGCAGCACCAGCGGAGUUUCUAUCAAAAUGUGCAAAGUUUGCAGUCGCCCAGGAAGAGCCACUUUCCCAGCCCUCAGGAGUUAGCAUCAGAGACAGCCUCCUUCAAUGCAAAGAGCUCCAGCAACUUUGUUCCCUACUAAGUGUAAUGCUGACAGGGCCCCUGCCACCCACACCCAUCAUUGCUGCAGUGUCAGACCAGAGACACCAGUCCCCAGGGAGAACACACCAUCUUUUGACCCAUAGAUUUCUACCACGAUGGGCUUAAGGCUGUAGGGGGCCAGGCCUGCCUCAAACACUAAACCUCCAUCAAUGGUCACAGCAUCUGCUUCAUUUGCCUGAAAGAGAAGGGAUCAAACCAUGCAUGAUGCCCAUCACUUCUGAGAAAGACUCCUCUAACCCUCUGCCAGAGACACUUGCUCAAUAGACACUUGCAUGACUCAAGCCUCCUUCACCUCCAUUACAUCACUGCUCAAAUGUCAUCUCCUCAGUGAGGCAUUCCCUGACCACAGUCUUCAAACUACCAUCUCGUGUAUGCUGGAUGCCACUUUGUUUUCCUUCUGAGCCUUAUCAACCACGUGACAAACUCUGUUUAUUGUUUGUCCUCCCCUUUGGAAUGUAAGCUCCAUGAAGGUGGAGGCAUGUUUGUCUGUUCUAUUCCCUACUCAAUCCCAGCACCUAGAGGAGCACCUAGCACAGGUAGGUGUUCAAUAAACAUUUCUUGGGUACGUAAGUGAAUGCAUUGUAGAAUAUUUCCAUCCAUAAGAAGUCAGGUUUGGCACUCUCAAAUGUGGAUUCCCUUGGCAGGGAUCUGUCAGCCAAAAGUUCCUUCCUUCAAGAAGCAAGCAACUUCACAGCCUCUUCUCCACAAUGAGGUUGGAUCAUUUCCCUACCCAUCAUGGAAAUCAUUCUUUUUAUUCAUUUAUUGACUGACAUUUAAAGCAACUUGAGAUUUUCUGAAUUUACUAUUAUGUUUCUGUAUGCCUCCCUUUUCCUCCAUCCCACUUUUUCUUAUAAAUAUUUUACAAUAUAUAUUCAUAUAUAUGUAUGUAUAUUUGUAUCUAUGUGUGUGUGUAUAAAGUUAGGACUCUAAUUAAAUGCAUGCAUCAGAAACUGACAUAAAUAACCUUAAGAAAAGGAGAGAUUUAGUAUACAGGUAAAAGGGCAAGAAGGCCGCUGGGCCUUGUGAACACCAUCAAGAUGAGAAGCAGCGAGAAUUGACAUGGGUUUCAGUCCGUCCCGUGGGCUCCAGCUCAUGAUUAUGGCCUCCAGGUAGUUCUUGCCUUUUCCCACUUUACAUACAUCUUUCUUUCCUGACUGACUCCUCUGCAAACCCCAAUAACAGAUGCAAAAAGACAACAGUCUUAUAGAGACUGCUUAACUAGCACCCACAACUGUAUAAGGUCAAACUCCUCUAACAUAUCUCUCCCUCUCUCUUCCCAUAAACACACAUACACAUACACACAUUACAAAAAUAGAUGAAAAUUUAUGCACAUCUUUAUGACCCUUACUGAAUAUUUCUAAGUUGGUUUCCAGAAAUGAUAUAGAAAUGUAUGAUUUAUAAUGCCAAUAGCAAUGCGUACCAAUUUCACUGCAAACCUACCAGUGAGAAGUGUUAUCACUUUAGAAAUGUCAUUACAUUACUAAAUAUAAACUGUUAUUUUUAGAAUGGUUUUAUUUG